rnacentral:rRNA from 1 species
UACGUAGGGGGCAAGCGUUGUCCGGAAUCAUUGGGCGUAAAGAGCGCGUAGGCGGUCCGGUAAGUCCGCUCUGAAAGUCCGGGGCUCAACCCCGGGAGGCGGGCGGAUACUGUCGGGCUAGAGUCCGGAAGAGGCGAGUGGAAUUCCUGGUGUAGCGGUGAAAUGCGCAGAUAUCAGGAGGAACACCGGUGGCGAAGGCGGAUCUCUGGGCCGUAACUGACGCUGAGGAGCGAAAGCAUGGGGAGCGAACAGGA